rnacentral:rRNA from 1 species
UACAGGGGGUGCAAACGUUGCUCGGAAUUAUUGGGCGUAAAGCGCGUGUAGGCGGCUUUGCAAGUCGGGUGUGAAAGCCCUCAGCUCAACUGAGGAAGUGCGCCCGAAACUGCAGAGCUUGAGUACCGGAGAGGAUGGCGGAAUUCCCCAAGUAGAGGUGAAAUUCGUAGAUAUGGGGAGGAACACCGGUGGCGAAGGCGGCCAUCUGGACGGAUACUGACGCUGAGACGCGAAAGCGUGGGGAGCAAACAGG